rnacentral:lncRNA from 1 species
CUCCAGGUCCCCUGCUGCUCCAUGAGAAAUCAAACUUCUGGCAAUGACGAAGCAUGAAGCCGGCAUCUCACAGAGAUGUAGUGACAUAAUUACACGAUAAGACCAGCCGCCCUGGUCCCGCUGUCACUUGGCAGGGCGACCGGAUUACAAUUCCAGCCAGCAUGAACACGGGACGGCGCGCAGUCCUGAAGGGCGAAGCAGGGCUGCGCCGGGCUUGCUGUACAUGCUGGGAGCUGUAGUCUUUUCACCGCUCCCGCCCGUUGUUUCAAGCGCUUCGGGACUACAAUCCCAGCAUGCCCCGGGCUCGGGGGCGGGGCGCAGUUCUUGUGGGAGGAGCGGGGCGGUGAGCGCCUGGCCGGGCAGGCUGGAAACGGUAGCUCUUAACUGUUCCCCGCCCGUUGAUGACGAGGCGGCUGGACUAGAAUCCCAGCAGGAGACAUGCGAGGAGGCGGGCAGCCCAAGAGGGUUGGGCAGGGCAGUGUGGACCUCGCCGCUUCCACAGCGAUGCUGGCUACUGAUCGCGGGCACCUCCUUGCCAUGGGAUGGUAAUUAA